rnacentral:rRNA from 1 species
GAACACCAGUGGCGAAGGCGACUUUCUGGACUGUAACUGACGCUGAGGUACGAAAGCGUGGGUAGCGAACAGGAUUAGAUACCCUGGUAGUCCACGCCGUAAACGAUGGAUACUAGGUGUAGGGGGUAUCGACCCCCCCUGUGCCGGAGUUAACGCAAUAAGUAUCCCGCCUGGGGAGUACGGUCGCAAGACUGAAACUCAAAGGAAUUGACGGGGGCCCGCACAAGCAGCGAGGCGUGUGGUUUAAUUCGAAGCAACGCGAAGAACCUUACCAGGGCUUGACAUCCCGAUGACCGGUACAGAGAUGUACCUUCCCUUCGGGGCAUUGGAGACAGGUGGUGCAUGGUUGUCGUCAGCUCGUGUCGUGAGAUGUUGGGUUAAGUCCCGCAACGAGCGCAACCCCUAUCCUUAGUUGCCAUCAGUUAAAGCUGGGCACUCUAAAGAGACUGCCGGGGAUAACUCGGAGGAAGGUGGGGAUGACGUCAAAUCAUCAUGCCCCUUAUGCCCUGGGCUACACACGUGCUACAAUGGCCUGUAACAGAGGGAAGCGAAGUCGUAAGGCGGAGCAAAACUCAGAAACCAGGUCCCAGUUCGGAUUGUGGCUGCAACUCGCCCACAUGAAGUCG